rnacentral:lncRNA from 1 species
CUGACCUGGUUGCCUAACCCGUGCAUAUUCCUGAAGGAUUGCUCCAGGCUUUUAAAUUUUUGCAUCAGUUCGUCCUGCUCUAGGCUCUUAGCCGGCUUCUCAAUCUUUGUCGGGACCUCAAAGUGGGGAUUAUAGGCAUGUGGCUCGAGUGCUUUGAAUGUGGUCUCAGGGGGGUAAUAUUGCUUGGAACAUUGGCUCACUAGACUAUCUUUGUAAUGUGGUUGGGGGAGGUGCCACAAAGUUAGGAACAUUUGGUGGAUGAGGGUUCUGAUUG